rnacentral:rRNA from 1 species
AUUGAACGCUGGCGGCAUGCCUUACACAUGCAAGUCGAACGGUAACGGGCCUUCGGGUGCCGACGAGUGGCGAACGGGUGAGUAAUGCAUCGGAACGUACCUUUCAGUGGGGGAUAACGUAGCGAAAGUUACGCUAAUACCGCAUAUUCUGUGAGCAGGAAAGCAGGGGAUCGCAAGACCUUGCGCUGAUUGAGCGGCCGAUGUCAGAUUAGCUAGUUGGUGAGGUAAAGGCUCACCAAGGCGACGAUCUGUAGCGGGUCUGAGAGGAUGAUCCGCCACACUGGAACUGAGACACGGUCCAGACUCCUACGGGAGGCAGCAGUGGGGAAUUUUGGGACAAUGGGGGGCAACCCUGAUCCAGCCAUGCCGCGUGAGUGAAGAAGGCCUU